rnacentral:rRNA from 1 species
ACAAGCAACGAAGGGCAACAGGAGGAUGCCUUGGCGACACAUGGCGAUGAAGGACGUGGCAAGCUGCGAAAAGCUUCGGAGAGCCGCAAGCAGGCUUUAACCCGGAGAUAUCCGAAUGGGGAAACCCACCGGCGGUAAAGCGUCGGUACUGCGACAUGAAUAGAUAGUGUUGUAAGAGCGAAACCCGCUGAAGUGAAACAUCUCAGUAAGCGGAGGAAAAGAAAGCGAAGCGAUUCCCUGAGUAGUGGCGAGCGAAAGGGGAGCAGCCCAAACCGUGGGGAUUAAUCCUUGCGGGGUUAGGACUCAGACGUGGACUUAUAUUAGAUAGAAGAACGGUGUGGAAAAGCCGGCCAAAGAGGGUGAGAGUCCCGUAUUUGAAAUUUAAUAUAUACCUAUGAGUAUCCAGAGUAGCACCGGACACGUGAAACCUGGUGUGAAAGAGUGCAGACCACUGCAUAAGGCUAAAUACAAGGUGUCGACCGAUAGUGAACAAGUACCGUGAGGGAAAGGUGAAAAGGACCCCUGUUAGGGGAGUUAAAAGUACCUGAAACCUGUUGCCUACAAGCGGUCAGAGCCCCUUAGUGGGGUGAUGGCGUACCUUUUGCAUAAUGGGCCUAGGAGUCUAUGUCAGUUGCGAGCUUAAGCGUUUACGACGUGGAGGCGAAGCGAAAGCGAGUCUGAAUAGGGCGGUAGUAACUGGGAUAGAACCCGAAGCGGAGGCGAUCUAGCCAUGGCCAGGUUGAAGCAUCAGUAACAUGAUGUGGAGGACCGAACCCAUUAACCUUGAGAAGUUAAGGGAUGAGCUGUGGUUAGGAGUGAAAGGCUAAUCAAGCCCCGUAAUAGCUGGUUCUCUCCGAAAUAUAUUUAGGUAUAGCGUCAAAUGCUGAUUACCGGGGGUAAAGCACUGAAAAGGCUAGGGUUCACACCAGAAUACCGAACCUUAUCAAACUCUGAAUACCGGUGAGUGGAAUUUGGCAGUCAGUCAGUGGGGGAUAAGCUUCAUUGGCGAGAGGGAAACAUCCCAGACCAUCGAAUAAGGUCCCAAAGAUAGUGCUAAGUGGUAAGAAGGAUGUAAGUUUUCAUAGACAAUGGGGAUGUUGGCUUAGAGGCAGCCAUCAUUUAAAAAGUGCGUAAUAGCUUACCCAUCGAGAGAAUUUGCGCCGAAAAUGAUCGGGACUAAGUACUACACCGAAUUUGUGGAAUUAGUAAUAAUUGGUAGGAGAGCGUUCCAACAUCGUAGAAGGCGGAGCGGUGAGCGACGUUGGAGAGGUUGGAAGUGAGAAUCUAGGCAUGAGUAACGAAAAGCAUGGUUAAAAUCCAUGCCGCCGUAAGGAUAAGGUUUCCUGGGGAAGGUUCGUCCGCCCAGGGUUAGUCGGGAGCUAAGGCGAGGCCGUAAGGAGUAGUCGAUGCACAACGGGUUAAUAAUCCCGUACCGGCUUGGUAAUGUUUGAGUUGCAUAUUGACGGAUGAGUGGAUGCUGGCGAGGUGAUGAACGUCCUCGUCUAAGGUGUUGUAAGGCACUGAUGGGACUUUGAGGCUACGGCCGAGGGGGAUCAGCAAUAGCUAAUUCCAGGAAAAUUUAUGCAAUUAAUUAUCAGGUUGCCCGUACCGCAAACCGCCACAGGUAUCCGGGAUGAGUAUUCUAAGGCGCGUGAGUUAAAUCUCUCCAAGGAACUCGGCAAAAUGGCCCCGUAUCUUCGGUAGAAGGGGUGCCAACGCGAGUUGGUCUCAGUAAAGAGGCCCAACCGACUGUUUAUCAAAAACACAGCUCUCUGCCAAGUCGCAAGACAACGUAUAGGGAGUGACAUGUGACCAAUGCGGAAAGGUGAAAACUGCUUGUGAAAGCUUGUGGUCUAAGCCCCCGUGAAUGUCGGCCGUAACUAUAACGGUCCUAAGGUAGCGAAAUUCCUUGUCGGGUAAGUUCCG